AGUGAACGCUGGCGGUAGGCCUAACACAUGCAAGCCGAACGGCAGCACAGUAAGAGCUUGCUCUUACGGGUGGCGAGUGGCGGACGGGUGAGGAAUACAUCGGAAUCUACUUUUUCGUGGGGGAUAACGUAGGGAAACUUACGCUAAUACCGCAUACGACCUACGGGUGAAAGCAGGGGAUCUUCGGACCUUGCGCGAUUGAAUGAGCCGAUGUCGGAUUAGCUAGUUGGCGGGGUAAAGGCCCACCAAGGCGACGAUCCGUAGCUGGUCUGAGAGGAUGAUCAGCCACACUGGAACUGAGACACGGUCCAGACCCCUACGGGAGGCAGCAGUGGGGAAUAUUGGACAAUGGGCGCAAGCCUGAUCCAGCCAUACCGCGUGGGUGAAGAAGGCCUUCGGGUUGUAAAGCCCUCUUGUUGGGAAAGAAAAGCAGCAGGUUAAUACCCCGCUGUUCUGACGGUACCCAAAGAAUAAGCACCGGCUAACUUCGUG
rnacentral:rRNA from 1 species